rnacentral:hammerhead_ribozyme from 1 species
AUCCAGCUAACGAGUCCCAAAUAGGACGAGAUGCGCAUCCUGGAU